AUCAGAACUGACAGUGGAAACAUUAGCACAAGAUAUUCAUGUUGAUAAUGUUUCAAUAUACUUUCUGGGACACUUGCAUACUUGCAGGCCUUAUUACAACACAUACUGUAAGUGAUUGGCUCCUUUAAAUUGUUGUAAAAUCAUUGAGUGUAUCUUCAUUCUAUGCAGAUCUUUAUUGCUAUUAUUUUUGGAAUAAUUUGCUGGAUGAAAUGAAGUAAUUCACAAUGCAUGCAUAUGUUUUAUUGUGAAACUCCUUACCUCUAUACUACUUAACAUUUCUCAAGGGCCAUUGUCCCAAGCGGCAGUUAUGAAAAUCAUUAAGGUUUGUGGCACAAUAAAAGGAUGUCUAUCUCUGUGUCAUGGCUGUCUGCCAUAUUUCACGCCCUGUCACGUAUUCAUAGUUCUCACCACAUGGAAGAAGGCCAUUUAAUCUUUUCUAGAUCAAUCCCAUUCCCCUACAUAUUUCACCAUAAUGUCUUCUCUCUCACAUGGCCAUUAACUCUCCCUAAUUCUCCUACCACAUACUACGCCAUGGAAGGAUAUACAAACGUUACAUGUAGCACUCAAGGCAGGAUCGAGCCCUGAUCUCAAGAGCUGUGCUGCAACAGUGCUAAUUGUUGAGCCACCAAAGGCCCUAGCCUUAAUAGAUUAAGACACUUCAUGUAUUGUUUAAAACUGAAUAAAGAUUUCUUCAUUUUAGGAUGAAAAACAUUCUUCUCACUCACCUCUAAUCCUUCUACAGAUUAUUUUAAAUUUACGCCCUUGACUGAUAUCUCUACCAAUCCACUGUGAAUGGAAUCUUAUGAGAUAAAUUUCUAUUGUGGAUAGGUAAAGAGAUAAUUUGAGAUAUGCAUUGGUGCGAGGGGGGGGGGGGGGGGGGGGGGUGUUCAGAAAUGUUAAUGGGCUAAUGUGGAAAAUAUCUCUCCAUAAUACAUAAUGGGUAAAAAAAUAUUAAAUUUUCCAGUUUACCUCCUACAUCAAAUUGCAUUCAAACAUUAAUGGUUGAGGGUGCACAACAUGCUGGGGUAACUCAGCGGGU